rnacentral:rRNA from 1 species
AUUCCAGCUCCAAUAGCGUAUAUUAAAGUUGUUGCGGUUAAAAAGCUCGUAGUUGGAGUUCUGCCAGGUGCCACCUGUCCGCCCCAGUGGUGAGUACGUGGUGCGCAUUUGGCCCUUUCAAGGGGAGCGUAUUUGCACUUAAUUGUGUGGUGCGGGAUCCUUGACUUUUACUUUGAGGAAAUAAGAGUGUUCCAAGCAGGCUCUCGUCGUGCAUAGCUCAGCAUGGAAUAAUAGCAUUGGACCUCGAUUCUAGGCUGUUGGUUGCCAGAAGCGAAGUAAUGAUUGAUAGGGAUAGUUGGGGGUGCUAGUAUUGAGCGGCCAGAGGUGAAAUUCUUGGAUUCGCUCAAGACUAACUUAUGCGAAAGCAUUCACCAAGGAUGUCUUCAUUA